GCCAGGCGCAAUGGUGCGUGUCUGUAGUCCCAGCUAUUUAGGAGGCUGAGACUGGAGGAUCUCUUGAACCCAGUUCUGGGCUGUAGUGCGCUGUGCUGAUCGGGUGCCUGCGCUAAGUUCAACAUCAAUAUGGUGACCUCCUGGGAGUGGGGGACCACCAGGUUGCCUAAGGAGGGGUGAACUGGCCCAGGUCAGAAACUGGGCAGGUCAAAACUCCCGUGCUGAUCAGUAGUGGGAUCACGCCUGUGAAUAGCCACUGCACUCCAGCCUGGGCAACAUAGCGAGACACUGUCUCU
rnacentral:SRP_RNA from 1 species